rnacentral:rRNA from 1 species
AACGUAGGAGACGAGCGUUAUCCGGAUUUAUUGGGCGUAAAGGGCAUGUAGGUGGUGCUCUAAGUUGGACGUGAAAUCUCCCGGCUCAACCGGGAGGGGUCGUCCAAUACUGGGGCACUUGAGGGCAGAAGAGGGAAGUGGAAUUCCCGGUGUAGCGGUGGAAUGCGUAGAUAUCGGGAGGAACACCAGUGGCGAAGGCGGCUUCCUGGUCUGUGCCUGACACUAAGAUGCGAAAGCUAGGGGAGCAAACGGGAUUAGAUACCCCAGUA